rnacentral:rRNA from 1 species
GCCUACGGGAGGCAGCAGUAGGGAAUCUUCCGCAAUGGACGAAAGUCUGACGGAGCAACGCCGCGUGAGUGAUGAAGGCUUUCGGGUCGUAAAACUCUGUUGUUAGGGAAGACCCAAGUACGCCGAGUAACUGCUCGUACCUUGACGGUA